AUGAUUGCUGCCUCACUUCGUCCUAACCCCGGUGAGCGGUUUUCAGCCAAGACCCAGGAGAUGUUUGUUGGGCCUAGGGAUAUGAAAGCCUCCGAUAGAGUCUGUGACAGGAAAAUAUCAUCAUCUCCGACACCUGAUUACUCCUUGAUGCUUCCAAUGAAUCUGCAGUGCCUGAGCAUCUGUUCCACCUGGACACCUUUUCUCACUCGAUCUGAGGGUGUGAAUAGGCCCUGUGACGCUGCAGAACAUAACAGUAGCAAGAGUGGAGGGGAUGAUACUGGCAACGCGGCAGCCUAUGCUCGUGCUCCAGGAACAUCAGUGGCUCCCACCACUCACUGCGUGUUAGGAUCACCCUCAGAAGCACAGCUGAAACACUGGAGUCUGUUCCCUAUCAAUUAAAGCAAAAUUUUGUUGUCCAAUAUUAUUUCCCUG
rnacentral:lncRNA from 1 species